CAAAUAAGUCUGUAUAAUUGUCCUUAAAUGAUCAAUUUCUUACAUGGUUUGUAAUUAUUUUGAAAUUAUACAAUAAGCUGCAAAAAAUAGCAGAAAACCAAGAUCCACAUUGGUAUCCUCUUUAGAAGCAAUUGCCCUUAAUCUUACCCGAUGUAUUAAUCUUUACUCAUUUGCUAUUAUAUUUAAAACCCUAAAAGACAUAGAAAACACUGUAAAGGACAGAGAACAAACUAUAAAUAGCAAAAACAAUUAGGUAGACAAAGAUCCACAAACAAUUCAGUAUUACCUAAAUUGACAGUUGACUACUUUAUCCCAGAUACUGUCCCUUAAUGCCUUAAUUUCAAGAUAAUUACAAACACCUAUUUUUUUUAGGGGGAUGCUUGUGGUAUAACAGCACCUUCGAAACUAUCAAAAAAAAUAAAAAAAUUAAACUCAAGAAAAAUGUUAUUGCUAUUAUUAACCUGUUUUCUUUUUAACUUGAAACUUUUAAAAAUUCUUUUUUUUUUUAUAUUCUGAUUUUUGUCAAGCCUUCGACUUUAGUCGAAAAAGCGAGACUAAGCGAUCCUACAUUUCGUCGGUGUCAUCGUCGGCGGCG
rnacentral:lncRNA from 1 species